UGAGUACGAGAUGCUACGGCAUCGAAGCAGUCUAUGUCAUACUUCCAAGGAAAGCUUGCACUGUCAUAAACAAAGAAUGCCUGUACCAUAACCGACACAGGUGGGUAGGUAGAGUAUACUAAGGGGCGCGAGAUAACUCUCUCUAAGGAACUCGGCAAAAUGACUCCGUAACUUCGGGAGAAGGAGGUGCCUUAUUUCUAAGGUUGCAAUAACAAGAUCCAAGCAACUGUUUACCAAAAACACAGGUCUCCGCUAAGUCGUAAGACGAUGUAUGGGGGCUGACGCCUGCCCAGUGCCAGAAGGUUAAAGAAGUUGGUUAGCAUUAGCGAAGCUGAUAACUGAAGCCCUGGUGAACGGCGGCCGUAACAAUAACGGUCCUAAGGUAGCGAAAUUCCUUGUCGGGUAAGUUCCGACCCGCACGAAAGGCGUAAUGAUUUGGAUACUGUCUCGGAGAGGGGCUCGGUGAAAUAGACUUGUCUGUGAAGAUGCGGACUACCUGCACCUGGACAGAAAGACCCUAUGAAGCUUUACUGUAACUUGAGAUUGAAAUUGGACUUUAUUUGCGCAGUAUAGGUGGGAGGCGUUGAGAAUAAUCUUGCGGGAUUGUUGGAGCCAUCAGUGAGAUACCACUCUUGUAAUGUUAGAUUUCUAACUUUGUAUCAUUAUCUGGUCAAAGAACAGUUUCAGGCGGGCAGUUUGACUGGGGCGGUCGCCUCCCAAAGGGUAACGGAGGCGCACAAAGGUUUCCUCUGAACGGGUAGAAAUCGUAUCUAGAGUGUAAAGGCAUAAGGAAGCUUGACUGUGAGACCUACAAGUCGAGCAGGGACGAAAGUCGGUCUUAGUGAUCUGACGGUGCUGAGUGGAAAGGCCGUCACUCAACGGAUAAAAGUUACUCUAGGAUAACAGGCUGAUCUCCCCCAAGAGUUCACAUCGACGGGGAGGUUUGGCACCUCGAUGUCGGCUCAUCGCAUCCUGGGGCGGUAGUCCGUCCCAAGGGUUGGGCUGUUCGCCCAUGAAAGCGGUACGCGAGCUGGGUUCAGAACGUCGUGAGACAGUUCGGUCCAUAUCCGGUGUAGGCGUUAGAAUAUUGAGAGGAGCCUUCUCUAGUACGAGAGGACCGAGAAGGACAUACCUCUGGUGUACCAGUUAUCGUGCCAACGGUAAACGCUGGGUAGCUAUGUAUGGAGUGGAUAACCGCUGAAAGCAUCUAAGUGGGAAGCCCACCUCAAGAUAAGUAUUCUCAUC
rnacentral:rRNA from 1 species